rnacentral:lncRNA from 1 species
AUGAAUUUAAGAACCGAAUGGUGUCCACUAGAAACAAGAAAGGUCCCUCUGUGCUGGUGGGGCACUAGCAUGGAGCUUGGCGGUUGUUACAGUGCUUGCAGACUUCUGUGUUGGCCAAGUCCCAAUAAGGAGAAGCUUUGCUUCAUAGCAGCAGAGAAGUGGAGUAUCGAACCGCGAGGAGACCGAUUUUUGUCUUAUCUGCAGAUGACCUUAACAUGGUGCUGGCAAAUGCCCUUAAUGAAAGGAGCUAAGUUGUCCGUGCAAGUUCUUGACUAUGAAUAGCUCCCCCUGCCCCGCUAGCCCGGCGGGUUAGGGCAGUGCUGCCAACUGACCCUGUGUAACCGUCCCCGCACCGCUCUGCCACUCACUGCUGACUGCCAUCAGUGUGGUACCGUCUUCCCGGCUCUACUCACAUAUUAGGCAAAUUCAUCUUUUUUUUUUUUUCAUGUCAGUGAUACAUUCUCCAUUAUUUAGGCAAAGAAUAAUAGACAUGUUUAUGUGGACUUAACUGUCUGAAUCAUUUCUGAAUACCUCAGCACACCUCUGGGUUCUACAUAUGCCAAACAGUUCGUCAAAAUUUGAGGAAAAUCUCUCCCUUUGCAUCAUUUCACUGACUGAAGUCCUUAAGUUUGUUUUAUUUUGUGAGUGCAACAAGAAACAGGUGUAACUGAGCCACUGUGAGAUCCUGUUGGGUUCAGGGUAGUCAAACUAUAAUGGAUUUAUUAGACAGCCUUGAUCAACUUGGAGGUGAGUAGGUUGGACUAUAGGUUAAGUGUGAUGCCAGUUUCUGUACCAAAAGUAGUUACAUAAAUGUCCACCUAGCACAGACGUCACCCAAAUUGUUCAGAGGUGCUGGGGGUGCCAGCUUGAUUAGGAGAUCCGGUUCAGAAACCUGGAUUUAGCUCCUCUUGGGAAUUGGGCAUCGUAUUACAGUGUGUCACCUUACAAUAUUUCUGUCCUUCGUGCAAGUCUUGCAAAUUUCUGUUUGCUCGGAGCCAUGCAAUAAAUAUAUCCAAAAAUACA